AGUCUGAUGUGAAAGCCCACGGCUCAACCGUGGAGGGUCAUUGGAAACUGGAAAACUUGAGUGCAGAAGAGGAAAGUGGAAUUCCAUGUGUAGCGGUGAAAUGCGCAGAGAUAUGGAGGAACACCAGUGGCGAAGGCGACUUUCUGGUCUGUAACUGACGCUGAUGUGCGAAAGCGUGGGGAUCAAACAGGAUUAGAUACCCUGGUAGUCCACGCCGUAAACGAUGAGUGCUAAGUGUUAGGGGGUUUCCGCCCCUUAGUGCUGCAGCUAACG
rnacentral:rRNA from 1 species